GUUCAACCAUCUCCUUUGACAGUUGAGAAAACGGAGGCUCAAGAUGUGACCCGUCUGACGGCAUACAAAUAUCUAGACACCAGCUGGAUGAAAACCUCAGCUCUCUAAGGUUCUUUCCUAUUACGGACAGGUAUGGUUUUAUCUGUUCCCGUAGCUCUGGAAAAUGUUUAUUGAAUAUUUUUGGAUGAAAGGAAACGUUCUUGGUUGCGAAUGUGUGUGGGAGGCACCCUGUCCUGGCCUUAAGGGUAAUCAAUCCACCUGCCUGGUCACGUGGGGGUGGAUAAAUGAGGGGGAAAGUUGCAUUUGGGAUUUUUCACCAUCCUACUUAAGUUUGUAGGGGGCUGUGUAGAAGAUAAACAGGACCCCAAAGGACUAGAAACCCCUACUGUUACCUCAAAAUGGCUCUAGGGACACCUUAGGCCGAGUUGAAGUAAAGAAGCACAGUUUUUCUAGGAUGGUAGCAGGCAAGGGAAAGAGGGUUUUUUUUUUUUUUUUUUUUUUUCCUAUUUGUUCACCUGGGGGAAGCAGACGCUGUUAAUUUCCUCCUCUAGCCACACAAGCGGCUAUGUAUCUGUUCGCUGGCUGUGUGGAGGUUUUCGCCUCCCUUUCUCCCGAAGAUGUUUCUGGCAAGGGCGCGAGUGGGGCUGGGCCAAGAAGGGCCUGGACACUGGGGCCCAACCUCACCCCGCACCCCGGCUGCUGCCGGCGCCGGGCGAGGGCUCCCUUGGGCAGCGCCUUUGUUUUCCUGACUCCAGUUACGUUUGCGGAAGUGCUGCCCGCGCCGGGGUGCCGGCGGUAGCCAGCCCCAGCACCCCAAAAGAUGACGAGCGACGGGGGAACCCAAAGGGAGGGAGACAGCAGCGGGCGAUCGGGGCCGGGAGCGGUGACACCCCUGGCCGCGACGCCCGGGCUCCGGGCCCGUCCUCGCCAGCGCCCCCCACCCGCCUCGGCACAGCAGGAAAACAGAGGAUGCUGCAGAAAAUCUUUUGGCCUCAAGAGGGCGUGGGGCAGAAGGGAGAUAGCUGAGAGUCUGGUCUCUCCAGAUGGUGGAACUAUCUCCUCACCAGGGCUGCUAAAGACAGGAAAAAGAGGUCUCACCCACCUCAGAGGACAUUCAACAUGGGAUUCCAGUAGACCAACGGCUAUAUAUAUUUAACUCUACCUCUGGUUUUUGAAGUGUAAUAAAUACUAUGCAAAAACUACAGAAAUGUCUUUAUCCUCUCCUGUCUUACCGACAGAAAUGAGUAUGUUAAGUGCGAGUAUUAGAGAGAACUAGAGACAUAAUUAGUGGCAGAAUCAAAGAAUUAGAAUGAGAGAAUAAGAAUAUAAAUUUGAGCGAGAGUUUCAGAAUGUGUAUAUGAGUGUGGAUGUGUGUGAGUGUGAGAUUGCAUGAGUAGGAUGGAGCCAUCAGUGCUCCAGGCUUUAAUUCUUAUAAGAAACAUAGUGUCACUGAAAGCACGUGAAAAUGGCUAAAUUAUGCUUCAAAUUCAGAGUUCUAAAUGUUCUACCAAAGGCUAAAGCUGAAGAUUUUUGUUACAGACAGGAAACAAAACUAAGCACAACCCCCUUUGCUCUCCCUAAUACUUCAGUGACAUUAACUUACCACUUCUAAACUCAUGUUCUGAAGACUUUUAUUUAAUUGAGCAGGAAUUUUUCCUGUCUUCAAUAUUUUACUGAAGCGUUUCAAGCAGCACUGAAAGUGAAAGUGAAAGAAAGUGAAGUUGCUCAGUCGUGUCCGACUCUGCGACCCCGUGGACUGUAGCCCACCAGGCUCCUCCAUCCAUGGGAUUCUCCAGGCAGGAAUACUGGAGUGGGUUGCCAUUUCCUUCUCCAGGGGGAUCUUCCCGACCCUGGGAUCGAACCCAGGUCUCCCGCAUUGCCCGCAGACGCUUUAACCUCUGAGCCACCAUCACACAAAAUCCACUAUAAAGAAUCUCACACAUUUAACUGCUGCAUGAAUAUCAUUCAUUUAUUAACAUUAUGAACACAUAAUGGAAAAAUGCUCCCCCAAAGAGGAAGGUGAAUGUUGACUGUCAAUAGGACAAAGCCGUCUUCAAGAGACAGAGAUGUGGAAACUAGGUCCACAGUUGGGUUGCGGAG
rnacentral:lncRNA from 1 species